rnacentral:rRNA from 1 species
UACAGAGGGUGCGAGCGUUAAUCGGAAUUACUGGGCGUAAAGCGUGCGUAGACGGUUAUUUAAGUCGGAUGUGAAAGCCCCAGCUUAACCUGGGAACUGCAUCCGAUACUGGAUGGCUUGAAUCCGGGAGAGGGAUGCAGAAUUCCAGGUGUAGCGGUGAAAUGCGUAGAUAUCUGGAGGAAUACCGGUGGCGAAGGCGGCAUCCUGGACCGGCAUUGACGCUGAUGAGCGAAAGCUAGGGGAGCAAACGGG